GACGAACGCUGGCGGCGUGCCUAAUACAUGCAAGUUGAGCGAUGAAGAUUGGUGCUUGCACCAAUUUGAAGAGCAGCGAACGGGUGAGUAACGCGUGGGGAAUCUGCCUUUGAGCGGGGGACAACAUUUGGAAACGAAUGCUAAUACCGCAUAACAACUUUAAACAUAAGUUUUAAGUUUGAAAGAUGCAAUUGCAUCACUCAAAGAUGAUCCCGCGUUGUAUUAGCUAGUUGGUGAGGUAAAGGCUCACCAAGGCGAUGAUACAUAGCCGACCUGAGAGGGUGAUCGGCCACAUUGGGACUGAGACACGGCCCCAACUCCUACGGGAGGCAGCAGUAGGGAAUCUUCGGCAAUGGACGAAAGUCUGACCGAGCAACGCCGCGUGAGUGAAGAAGGUUUUCGGAUCGUAAAACUCUGUUGGUAGAGAAGAACGUUGGUGAGAGUGGAAAGCUCAUCAAGUGACGGUAACUACCCAGAAAGGGACGGCUAACUACGUG
rnacentral:rRNA from 1 species